AACGUAGGAGACAAACGUUAUCCGGAGUUACUGGGCGUAAAGGGCGUGUAGGUGGUUUUGUAAGUCUGGCGUGAAAUAUCUCGGCUUAACCGAGGCAGGUCGUCGGAUACUGCAAGACUAGAGGACGGUAGAGGCGUGUGGAAUUCCGGGUGUAGUGGUGAAAUGCGUAGAGAUCCGGAGGAACACCAGUGGCGAAGGCGGCGAUCUGGACAGAUAUUGACGCUGAGGUGCGAAAGCGUGGGGAGCAAACAGG
rnacentral:rRNA from 1 species